UUGUACUACUUACCUCGCCCGUAUAUAUAUAUAUAUAUAUAUAUAUAUAUAUACGGGCGAGGUAAGUAGUACAA
rnacentral:pre_miRNA from 1 species